rnacentral:ncRNA from 1 species
AAUUAUGUUUAAUUUUGGCUUAAGUUUUUAUUUUUUUAUUAAAUUUGCAUGAAAAUUAUUAAGUGUGUUAAAAUUAUUUAAUUAUAUAUUAGAUAAACGUUAUAAUAAAAUAAAAUUUAUGAAUUAUAUAAUCUCAGCAUAAGUUAUUAGAAUGUAUACGAGUGUAUGAUUUAGUAAUAAUAUAAUUAGGUCUGAUAAACAUUUGUGCCAGCAUUCGCGGUUAUACUUUGAAGUUAAAUAAAAAUUAUUAGUAUUUAGUUAAAUGAAUGGAUUUUAUGAAAUUUAUAAAUAAUAGGAGGUAAAAUUUAAUUAUUAUUUUAUAUUGAGUUUAUAAUUGUAAUUGAAGCUAAAAAAUCUAACUUAUAAACUAGGAUUAGAUACCCUAUUAUUUUAGAAAAAAUAUAAAACUAGAUUAUUAUUAGUUAUAUACUUUAAAAUUUAAAAAUUUGGCGGUGAUUUAAUCCUUUUAGAGGAACUUGUUUUUUAAUCGAUAAACCACGAAGAAUCUUACUUAUUUUAGUUAUUUAAUAUCAGUUUGUAUACCAUCAUUAUCAGAUAAUUCUAAAAAGAAAAAUUAUUAAAAAUAAAUUAAUUAUUAAAAUUAGAUCAUGUUCCAGCUUAUAGAUAAGAUAAAAUGAGUUACAAUAAAUUAUUUUAUAAAUGGAUUAAUAAGAUAAAAAUUAUUAUGAAGGAGGAUUUGAUAGUAUUAUAAUUUUUAAUAAGUUUAUAAGAAAUAGGCUCUAAAUCAUGUACAUAUCGCCCGUCGCUUUCAUUUAUAAAUGAAAUAAGUCGUAACAUAGUAGAUGUACUGGAAAGUGUAUCUAGAAUUAAU